rnacentral:pre_miRNA from 1 species
AUAAUCUAGGGAUCUUGUUAAAAUGCAGGUUCUGGUUCAAUAGGUAUGAAGCAGAGCCUCUGAGAUUCUGCAUUUCUAACAAGCUGCCAGAUGAGGCAAA